AACACUUGACACUUACUAGCUGUGGGACCCUGGGCAAGUCACUUAACCCCAAUUGCAAAAAAAAAAAAAAGGAGAUAUGUAGCUGGAGGACCAGGGUUCUAACCCUCCCUUCCUAUCGACCACCCGUGUGACCUUGGACAAACCCCUGCCCUGGACUCUCUGGGCCUGUGUCCUUAUGUUUCAAAUGAAGAUGGACAAGAUGAUGCCUAAGGCCACCGGCAGCUCAACCUUUGGUUCUGGGGGACAAUAGAGAGUCUUCAUAAGUGUGUGGGAAGCAGCGACAAACCUAAAAGGCUGAGAGGAUGCCAUGGGGUUGGCAAAUCCCUGAGAACAGAUGCUGUAAUCAGCACACUGGCUGACACUGGCGAGCCAAUGACUUCACCCAGGAAAUCAGAACUCGUCUGCCAUCUUGAGACGCACAUUUUGGAAAGAUCCUUGGAAGUCUGAAGGGAGACUCCUAAGCCCUAAAUCUGCAACACCCACCCAUGGCUGCUAUGUCUCCCCUCCAGGGCUAUGCAGAAGAAGCCAAUUUUUUCUUCCACGGGGCUUUGUGAAUACUUAAGGACAGUGAUCACAUCCUCCUGUAAAUUUUCUCCAGGCUGAACACCCCUAAUUCCUUCAACUAAACUUCAUGUGGCCCAGCUUUGAGGCCCUUCCCGUGAGGUGGUCUUGGCCACCCUCUUCUAGAGGUCAGCAAAUACCUGUUGAUCACCCCAUUGCUUAGCACAAGGCCUGGCACACAGUAGGUGCUUAAUAAAUGCUUGUUGACCUGACAAACCACUUUGUCACUGCCCUUAUAGUUGUCUGGCCAAUGAAUAUCCGUUUCUAUUUCACACUCUUGAAUAACACAUUUGCCAUUUUUUUCUUGUUUUAUUGAAAAAGAUUCUAUUACACUAUGUUUACAGAAGCUUGGUGUUACCCUAAGAAACAUUCAUCUUUAACAACAAUUAAAAUAUCAUCGGUGAUCUGGGCCACAUCACAGAAAGAGUCUCACACGGCUUGUGCAACAUGGGGCACUCUGCCCACUUUCUGGACAUCUGGAGAGCUAGAAAGGACCCCAAAGGUGGUGCCCUCCAAUUUGCUGCCUCCAGGCAGGCCUCAGACCAAAUCGCUCCCAGCAGAAGCACAGCUGCCUUAUGAGCCCAACCCAGGAUGAGUUCCAAAAUGGUCCAGCCACAAGAAAGAGUUCGAGGAAGGGAGAGGAACUGGCAUCUCACUGGAUAAGCUUUCAUCCCUUUUCUUUUCUUUCACUUUCAGCUUAUCUUGUGAUCAAUGACUCCUCUUCAUUUCUCAUUGACCCUGACUCCCUCCAACUCGGGGCCCCUAGCUCAAAACUCUCUGCAGAAUGGGUUACAUGAAAAAGCAGGGAGGGAAACCAUAACAUCACUGAAGACACAAGGCAAACAAAACAUGGCAGGUGGUUGGUGCGUCAGCCGCCUACCUCUUUGCCAUUUGUAAAGCCACACACAUCGUGGUUGGGUCCGAGUCUUAAAAUCUGACAGAAAGUCUCCGCUGGUUGGCCCCAUGCCAACCAGCCUUCAACUGAACGUCUUUAAAAAUGGCCCACCCUUGGAUUCAUCAGGGAGGAAGUGCUCUGAAUCAAUACUGCACAGUUGGGCUUUUGUUUUUAAAAGGUGGGCUACAGCUCACAAAACACUAGAUGCUUCACAGUAUGCAAAGUACGGUUCAAAAAAGCCAAGGUCACAGGGGACAAAGAAAUAAGUCUGGAAUUUGAUUCACUUAUAAUCUGUGUUAGAGGCGAUUCGGGGGCCGGUCACUCAAGGAGCCAGGGGCUCAGCUCACAGGAUGUGGUCUUGAUUGGUAGCAAUAAAUAUAAAUAAAUUUACAAAG